rnacentral:ncRNA from 1 species
GUCUCACCUAUGGCAACAGCUAACGUCGAGUACCCUCGGCCUCUGGCUCACUGGAUUGAUCCGAUUAUUCAAGCCAGCUGUUUGUGAGUCCCAUAAUCAAUUUGCGCCGCAUUGGCCAGGUUGAGGGCCAGACACUGCGCUACCUCGCAGGGCGACGAUACACGGUUUGUGAUCGAUUUUCCCUGAUGGAGCGUCCCUCCGUGGGGCGGAUUG